rnacentral:rRNA from 1 species
CACGUAGGGUGCGAGCGUUGUCCGGAAUUAUUGGGCGUAAAGAGCUCGUAGGCGGUGUGUCGCGUCGGCCGUGAAAACCUGCAGCUUAACUGUGGGCUUGCGGUCGAUACGGGCAUCACUGGAGUUCGGCAGGGGAGACUGGAAUUCCUGGUGUAGCGGUGAAAUGCGCAGAUAUCAGGAGGAACACCAAUGGCGAAGGCAGCUCGCUGGGACGGUACUGACGCUGAGACGCGAAGCGUGGGGAGCAAACAGG